CAGGCAUCUCCCCAUCCUCAGCUGUUUGCCAGUCCCGGGAAAGCACUUCUCAACUCACCAACUCCAGUAGAAAGAAGGGUGUUAAGGCAGUAUCAAUAUGGGAAGACCCUCAAGCUGGUUCUCCAGAGGGCUCUGCAGGACACUGCUGAGGUAGAUGAAGGUGGAGGCAGACUUGUUCAGGAAACCCUGAAGCUGUCGGGAAGCAGACUGAGGCAGUGAGGAAAAGCCUCUGCCUUGAUCAGUCAGAUGUGACUUUGACAGUAAACACUGCCCUGCCAGACUUGACAAUUACCUGCUCUUCUCUCAGCCUCAUGCCGCCAAAGUGCCUCAGUUAUUCUUCAAAUAAACUUCUUAUAUUAUC
rnacentral:lncRNA from 1 species